GCCCCACCUUAGGCACCUUCUUGAGUGGGUCUUAGAAGCCCAAGCAAGUAACUGGUCUCAGAGAGCCUUCAUGCUCCGAUCAGUCACCCUGAAGGAAGAACAGAGAAGAAAAGGAGAGAAAAGGAAGCAAGAAAGAACGACACGGGGAGACCAAGCUUUGGCUGAAUGGAAGUCUGAUGCUCCUCAAAUAGACCCAAGCACCACCAGGUAUGGAGGCUGGAAAUCAAGGAUCAAGGCAAUGGUAGAUUCAGUCUCCUGGAUCAUAGAAAGCUGUUUUCUUGCUGUUUCCUCACAUGGUACAAGGCACAAGAACUUUGGUCUUUAAGAGCAGAUAUCCCAUUCAUGAAGUUGCUACCCAAAGGUCC
ensembl:lncRNA